UACGUAGGGGGCAAGCGUUGUCCGGAUUUAUUGGGCGUAAAGAGCGUGUAGGCGGCUUUACAGGUCCGUUGUGAAAACUCGAGGCUCAACCUCGAGACGCCGGUGGAAACCGUAAAGCUAGAGUCCGGAAGAGGAGAGUGGAAUUCCUGGUGUAGCGGUGAAAUGCGCAGAUAUCAGGAGGAACACCCGUGGCGAAGGCAGCUCGCUGGGACGUUACUGACGCUGAGACGCGAAAGCGUGGGGAGCAAACAGG
rnacentral:rRNA from 1 species